UACGUAGGUGGCAAGCGUUGUCCGGAUUUAUUGGGCGUAAAGGGAGCGCAGGCGGUGACUUAAGUCUGAUGUGAAAGCCCACGGCUCAACCGUGGAAGGUCAUUGGAAACUGGGUCACUUGAAUAUAGAAGAGGAAAGUGGAAUUCCAUGUGUAGCGGUGAAAUGCGUAGAUAUUAGGAAGAACACCAGUGGCGAAGGCGAUUCUCUGGACUGUAACUGACGCUGAGGCUCGAAAGCGUGGGGAGCAAACAGGAUUAGAUACCCGUGUA
rnacentral:rRNA from 1 species